GAACAAGAAAAGAUUGAGAGAGGUAUGUCAUCUCUCUUGUAACUUUUAGAUUUAAAUUUUGUUUCUUUACUGAUUUGAUUUGUUCUGUCUUGCAUCAGAAUUUGCUGUAUGACAUCAAGAGCCUCUUCGUUUCUAAGGUAUUGCACUAAACACCCUUUGGUUUAUAAUGAUUUGCUUCUGUUUCAGUUUUUUUUAGCUUAACUUUUACGUUUUUCUUUUGGCAGGAGUAGAACGUUCCACAUCAUGAUUGUCAAGUACUCCUAAGCUCAAGAUUGUUCCAAUGUCUCUCAUUUACGUGUGUGUGUUUCAGUUUAUGUUUGUUGUUUCUUUUAAGUCUUCAGCUUCAAAACUUUUAAAUGUUGCUAUUUUCAG
rnacentral:lncRNA from 1 species